UUUAACCAAAAUUGUGUAUCUUCUGCUAGACAUGAGUGAGAAGGGCUGUCCCAGGAGGCUGCUGCCCUUCAGCCUGGGUCUCAGAAUCAGAUGUGGAGCACACCUGAGAAAGAUGAGGAAGCGGAUGCAUAGCAAGUUUAAAUAGCUUGCAGAAGGACACACAGUUUGCAAGUGAAGGAGCUCAAAUUCAAAGACUGGCAGUCUGCAUCCAGAGUUGAUCAUCUUAAAUACCAUGCUGAACCGGUUGCUCUCAAAGUCUAAACAGUAUUUUUUACAAUAAGAUAUCCUUUUGUAGGUCAACGAAUAGUUUCUAAUUCUUUUUAAAAUAAAAUACAAUGAACUGAAUACAAUUUAAUGCAUCAGAGUAAAUUUUACAUAGCAAAGUAUGUAUUAUUUUCUUUCAGCUAUGCAAUUCCACUAGUAUGAGGUAUCUACUGUAGUGAAACUCACAGAAACAGAAAG
rnacentral:lncRNA from 1 species